rnacentral:lncRNA from 1 species
CCAGUCGUGACGGCGCAGAGGUCAGGCAGUCAGGGAAGACCAGUCUGUGACGGAGCUGAGGUCAGGCAGUCAGGGAAGACCAGUCUGUGACGGCGCAGAGGUCAGGCAGUCAGGGAAGCCCAGUCUGUGACGGCGCAGAGCUGAGGUCAGGCAGUCAGGGAAGCCCAGUCUGUGACGGAGCUGAGGUCAGGCAGUCAGGGAACCCAGUCUGUGACGGCGCAG